rnacentral:rRNA from 1 species
AUUGAACGCUGGCGGCAGGCUUAACACAUGCAAGUCGAACGAGUGGCGGCCGGGUGAGUAAUGCUUGGGAAUCUAGCUUAUGGAUGGGGAUAACUACGGGAAACUGUAGCUAAUCCCGCGUACAUUAGGAUGAGACCAAGUGGGAUUAGGUAGUUGGUGAGUUAAAGGCUCACCAAGCCGACGAUCUCUCGCUGGUCUGAGAGGAUGACCAGCCACACUGGGACUGAGACACGGCCCAGACUCCUACGGGAGGCAGCAGUGGGGAAUAUUGCGCAAUGGGGGCAACCUGACGCAGCCAGGCCGCGUGAAUGAAGAAGGCCUUCGGGUUGUAAAGUUCUUUCGGUAGCGAGGCGUUAACUACAGAAGAAGCACCGGCUAACUCCGGGCCAGCAGCCGCGGUAAUAC